AUUAAAUCUGUUCAAUUUUUCUGAAAUCGUGCUUAAAUAACAUUAGUUGUUCGGCGCUACGAUGUUGUUCAAAUGCUUUUACAUUACAGAAUCACAUUAUGAUUAAACCAGAAACGACUCGACUCGAAACAGCAGUCAGUGAUGAUAUGUGACUCUUUCCACCUUCCAGCAAUUAUUGAGAAUUUACCAAGGACUCCAUUGGCAUUGAAUUGAAGAAAAACUGUUUCAAUAUUGGAUGUAUAUGCAAAUCACCCAGAAAAAGAUCAUUUAACAAAAGAAAUUAUAAAAGAAAAAAAUGGAAGAAGAAAUGGCUGAAAAAAAUGAUGAUAGAGCAGCUUUUUCUUGUUACCCACCUCAGAAGAUCAAGACAGUUGGAAAGGGCUAUUGAUUGGCGUACAAGUACUUCAAAUAAAGUACACCUCUAUGUUACCCACCUCAGAAGAUCAAGACAGUUGGAAAGGGCUAUUGAUUGGCGUACAAGUACUUCAAAUAAAGUACACCUCUAUGAUAUAACGCCAGAAAUUCGCUCACAUCCAUGUCGAUGUGCUGUCAAAGAUUCAUCCGGUCUAUUAAGACAAUGGAGCCAACCUCAAGGUUCGAUGACGUAACUGAUUAAACAAAAAGUGGUUCGACAUGACAAUGAAUUUAUUUCAUUUCUCCAAAAAAAAAAACAAAAAAAAAUACUAAAAUCGGACAAUUCUUAAGAAUAACCCAAUGGAGUAGUAAUUUUAGCCCAGACGAUAAAUACUGAUGUCUUAUGACAUCAACUUCGGCUGUACCCAGAACCACACCCUCUGUCCGUUCGAUUGGAGAAAUUUUAGUGGUGGAAAUUACAAUGGAGAAAUUCUGAUAGUUGAAAAAUACAAAGAUGAAAAAGUUAGAGUGAAUUUGCAAAGGCGAAAAGUAGAAAGUGUAAAAACAUAACUAGAUUUUUUUGGUUUGUUUUGAUACUAAUAUAGUGAUUGUGUGUUAUGUGAUAUUUAAAAGUGAAAAAUCUCGAAAAUGACCAUUUUUACCAUUUUGACUAUGAUAAUUUGUCAAUUUUAACUACUAUAUUUUGUCUUAAUAUGGCAACGAUUCGGUUCCAUACUAGAGAGGACAAGCCUUAUCGUCCAGGAGAUGUUUGAAAUUAUAGAUGUAUAUACAUUUAUUUAAAUAACAGGUUAUUAGCAGAAUAAAAACAAUCUUUCUUUUUUUGACGGACUAUGCUGAACAUGAUUUUAUCAAGAUCUUUGAGGAAAUAAAUAUUUUUAAACUUUAAAUCCACAUUAAUUUUAUCAUGCUCUUAAUACAAUUCAUUGUACCGGUCAAUUAUCAAUCGAUUGUAGCUCCUAAUUCAAAUGUUAAUAUUGUAACAGUUUUCCAGUUUGAAACGUCCGACGUUUCGUGGGGGUGUAUGGUACUUUGCCUGGUAACCUACGUUUUGAAAUGGAACACCAUUGGCAUUACAUCUAAUAGACAAAUGUUGACUAAAUCUGGGUUAAUAUUAUUAAUAACAGGGCUUACCUAUAGAUCAUCGUUUAACAAUCAUCUGAUUAAAAUAUUGAAAGCGAUUGAAUAUACAAGUUUGGAUUUACCUCCCUUUGCUAAUUCAUCAAAAUUUCCCUGUUGGUUCGUUCUCUUCUCUGGAAAAUUCUAUUUUUUUCUGGCAUCGAUCAACCAUAAUAUGCUAACGGACUACAUCCGAGACAUAUCCAGUAAAUUUCUAACAGACUUAAAGGAUCAUUAUAGGUCCGCAGCCUAAAUUUUUAGCAUGUUAUUCCGCUGCAAGGUUCUACCUACAAAACAAACUACAUGUAUACAUUUUUGAGAGAAAGAGAGAGAGAGAGAGAUGGGGUUUAACGUCCACUCGACAAAACUAGGUCAUUUCAGGACUAACACAUGGUUCAAUUUUAUUUCAAUAAUUCGCUUGCGCGUAGGGGUCUUUAGCAGUGGGAGGAAACCCCACGAGGUUGGACAGGCUACCGGGGAAUCGAAACCCCACCAGUUGACUUAAUGACAGACCGUAUCAUACAGCGCACGUGCUAACCAUUCGGCCACCCCAUACAUUUUUUAACUCCAGGAAUAUAAAUCCAGAUAGAUCCACUGUUUGCAAUAACUUGAAUUAGGGCUAGAUGAAAAUUGUGAUAAUUGUCAAGUAAAUGCUAUAUUUAAUAUACUAACAAUAAUUGUGAAGAUGACAUAAAAUUAAAUAUUGGCGGAAACACCCGAUGCCUUCAUCCAAUGCAAAGAAUAUGCUACAAAUACAAAUUUUGGUUGCAGGCCUAUUAGGUAAGAUUAGAUAAAGAGCUGACAGUUCUCGUUGUAAUAGUUAAAAAUUAUACACUGAAAAAAAACUUGUGUUGGAUCUCAACACAAGUACUUGUGUGAAAAUUAUUCUACACAAGUUAUGUGUUGUUUUGCAUUGCAUUAACACAAACUUGUGUUCUUUUUAAUGCAUUAACACAAAUCUUGUGUUUUUUCCAUAUAAUUAACACAAGUAAUGUGUUCCGUCAACAAAUAUUUUUUUUUUUUAAAUUUGAACUCCAUACAAAGUCUUAAUCCGGGGGUCCACAAGUAAGAGAAAAGUAUUUUUUACUCAGACAAUAUAGCCAGACAGACUUGAAUGCUAAUUGGUGUUAAGAUGUCUGUAGUUAAAAUAAAGUUGGGCCCAAUAAACUGGUAGAUCAAAGGCCUGUUGAGCGCUCAUGCCCGGUGUGAUUUUAACAAUUGACUCCAAAUGCGUUGACAAGAAAAUAAGUGAAUGUGAUUGGUUGAUAAAACCAACGUACUAUAGGCUACAUUUUGUCUGCGAUAUCAUCUCGGUGGAAGCGGACAUUAAAUGAAGUGAUUUCACACAAUUAAUUUAACAUUUAACAACGUGCUGAAAUGAUUUUGGAGCAGUGAUAUGUUUGACAAAUGUAAGUUAAUGGUCAGAUAGAAUACAAGACCGCAGGUUUGUGAAUAUUUAUAUAAAAAAAUAAUACCAUGUAUGUAAUUUAGCAUCGAUAUUGUUUCUCUGUAUAAUAUUAGUAUUUCGUUUCCUUAAAAAAAACUCCAACAAUUUAAACCGGAAGUUCAUGUUUAUAAUAUGGCGCGGUCAGGAAAAAAAUUUCGGCAUGUUAUUAUCAAAUCUGUUCAAUUUUUCUGAAAUCAUGCUUAAUUAACAUUAGUUGUUCGGCGCUACGAUGUUGUUCAAAUACUUACAUUACAGAAUCACAUUAUGAUUAAAGCAGAAACGGCUCGAUUUGAACCAGCAGGUAAGAAUCUGUUUUGAAAUUAUAUCUUGGGAGGUUGGAAUGGCGUUGGAGACCCGAUUGGCGGCCAUUUUGAUUCUUGUUUCAUGAUUUUUUUUAUAUUAUAACAAUUUUGCCAAGAGUAGACAUAAACGCGGGCACAGACUAGAAAAAAAUCUUUUUACACUUUUGUGUUAGUUAAAUUGUAAUCUAAUUUAUGUUUUAAAAAAACAACCUUAAAUCUAAUAAGCAGACGGAAGAUAUGGACGAACAACAAGAAGAAGUUAUGGAGGCCCCAACAACUGAACCUAUGGAAGUAGAAGAAUCGUUUACAGCCGAAACCCGAUACGAUGUGCCAGUUCCGGUCAUGGAGUCCUCCAUCUCAGACGAUGCCGACGUUAGUGUCUUCUGCGACGAAGAACCCGUAGUGGUGUAUACGCAGGUAGAAGCUGGUACCUCCCGUGGCAAGUCCAAGUUGUUUGACAACCAAGGGUUUAGUUAUACAAUUAAGACAGAGAAGAAAACUACGAUUUGGAGGUGUUCCAAAAGAAGCGGACCAACACGAUGUCCGGCAACAGUAAUCCAAGAUGGUGAUACAUACCAACCAGGCUUAAAGAACCAUCUUCACCCAGCAGAACCCGGUAUACAGACGGCUACCAAGAUAAAAGUUACAGCAAAGCAUGAAGCCAAAGGAAAUGUUUUUACCAAGUCAUGUUCCUCAAUAGCGGAGAGAGUUUUAUCCAGUGUCGGUUCUGCAGAAGAACCCAUUCAUAGCAGACCACCCAUGGCAGCACUUGUAAGGUCGCUACAAAGAACCCGACAGACUCUGCGACCAAAAGAUCCCACUGACGUGUCGUCAAGCUCAAUGAUGAUAUGUGACUCUUUCCACCUUCCAGCAAUAAUUAUUGAGAAUUUACCAAGGACGCCAUUGGCAUUGAAUCGAAGAAAAACAGUUUCAAUAUUGGAUGUAUAUGCAAAUCACCCAGAAAAAGAUCAUGUAAUAACAAAAGAAAUUAUAAAAGAAAAAAAUGGAAGAAGAAAUGGCUGGAAAAAAUGAUGAUAGAGCAGCUUUUUCUUGUUACCCACCUCGGAAGAUCAAGUUGGAAAGGGCUAUUGAUAUUGUGGAGACGUUUUCUCACAGAUCUUGCUUAUCAGACAAAGACUAUGCUGGAACACCAUUGAAAGAGUAUUUGCUGUAUGAUAACAACAAGAAAACCCAAGCAUCAAUUUAUUUUAUACUUCUGGGAAAGAAUGCAUUUGACCCAAUUUUUAAAUAUUUAUUUUUUGUUAUUAAUGUUAACUUUUCUUCCAAAACACAAUUAGAUUUUAAUUCUCUUCAGAAAUGUAUGUAUAAUAUAGCAAGUAAAGUGACAUAUAAAUCACUUAGAAUUUGGUCAGAAAUCAUAAAGUAUUUAAUAGGCAUUACUAGAAACCAAAUGUAGAUCAAAUACACCCAGAAUUACAAAAAACCUUCACUUACCUAAAGGUGACUUUCCCUUGCUUGUGAAUUGAUAUACGGUUUAGUAUCCUACUUUUCUGUGUUCUUAGAGUGAUUCUGCCCUACACCCUACUCUUAUAUAAAAUAUUGCAACUGUCAAGGGUUCUUUAACGGGAACCCGGGGGGGGGGGGCAAUGAUUAACACGCACACAUUUGAUCAGGAAGUCUGUCAUUGAGUCAAAUAAUUCAAUUGUCAAGGCUUCUUCUAAGUGAACGCAGUCGGGAUGGUUUCGAUUCCGGGAAUGGGGGAGGGGGUGGUGGAUGGCCGAAUGGUAAGCACGUGCGUGCGGUAUCAUACGGCCUGUCAUUGAGUCAACUGGCGUGGUUUCGAAUCCCCGGUUGUACGUGACAAGGAGUAGGGUUGCCUGUCCAAUCUUGUGGGUUUUCUCCGGGACCUCCGGUUUCCUCCCACUGCUAAAGAUCCCUAUGCGCAACGAAUUAUUGAAAUAAAAUUAAACCAUAUGUUAAUCCCGAAAUGACCUAGUUUGUGUCAAGUGGACGUUAAACCCCAUUUCUCUCUCUCUUUCUUUCGAUUCCGGGCUUGUACCCAAUUCCCUUGCCAUAUCCAACACUACUGACAAGUGGGAACUAUGCCGGAAAAUCCAGGUGAAAUUUCUCGGCCAACACCUUAUACUCACUGAACCACUGUGGCUUAUGACUUGUGAUUGUAUAUAAGUUUUUUGUACAUAUGAUAUUUUUUUAUUUCAAUCCUGUAAUCUUGAUGCUUUGCUUCUUUUAUUUACAAAAUAUUCAUUUUGUUUGGGGUUUUUUUAAUGAGGAAAAGGUUUUACAUCAUUUUUUUACUCCUGCAAAAUAGUGCAUUUUUCUUUUGUUAGUUUUCUGUGUAUAUUAGUUAUUUCUAUAUGUCUCACAAAUCACUUGUAGUGUGAUUUUGUAGCACUUUUCAGUUUUUGAAAUUGUUUCAAUUUAGUGCAUAAUUAAUCUUAGUGCUUGGUUUGGAUGUUAUUAAAUUUAGAUAUUAUUUGAAUUAUAUAUUUUGGAGUAUGGGGUAGGGAUACUGUGUACAUAUCUUUAUAUCCUGAUUUCUUUUUUUGGGGUAAAGAACAAUUUAUAUAGCUAUUUUAUAUUUUGUGAUAGGUAAAGUGUGUGUGGUUAAGAACAAUUUAAACAGUUAUGUUAUAUUUUGU